rnacentral:rRNA from 1 species
AUUGAACGCUGGCGGCAGGCUUAACACAUGCAAGUCGAGCGGGGUGAUGGUGCUUGCACUAUCACUUAGCGGCGGACGGGUGAGUAAUGCUUAGGAAUCUGCCUAUUAGUGGGGGACAACAUCUCGAAAGGGAUGCUAAUACCGCAUACGUCCUACGGGAGAAAGCAGGGGAUCACUUGUGACCUUGCGCUAAUAGAUGAGCCUAAGUCGGAUUAGCUAGUUGGUGGGGUAAAGGCCUACCAAGGCGACGAUCUGUAGCGGGUCUGAGAGGAUGGUCCGCCAAACUGGGACUGAGACACGGCCCAGACUCCUACGGGAGGCAGCAGUGGGGAAUAUUGAACAAUGGGGGGAACCCUGAUCCAGCCAUGCCGCGUGUGUGAAGAAGGCCUUAUGGUUGUAAAGCACUUUAAGCGAGGAGGAGGCUCUUUUGGUUAAUACCCAAGAUGAGUGGACGUUACUCGCAGAAUAAGCACCGGCUAACUCUGUGCCAGCCGCCGCAGUAA